CCCCAGUUCUAUGAUCCUGGGAAGCGGGAGCCACACUGUUUUUCCCCAUCAGUGCACCGCUCCCUCUCCUGGGGGAGUUGGCAGAUCCGCAGCUGGCCUGUUGGCUAGAGGCGCAUGGGCAGCGGAGCCUGGCAUUUCUUUACAGGCUCUCACUGUCUCUCUCUUGUGCUGCUUUCUUCCCGUUCCCACGCCCCACCUCUGCAAGUCCCCAGGGAUUCUGCUUUCUCCUGCAGUGCUGAGGGCAAAGGCCCUGGACGAUGAGAUAGACCGGGCCUUCCCCCUCCAGGGCUGCUCCGCCGGGACCCUCAAUGCCUCAUUGUCUCUGGCCUCCCAGACCCCAUCCCCUCCCGGGGAGAGAACGCGGUGGGCGGUGUGCUGGUCAGCAAGUCCAUGCCUGGUGCAAGCUGGCUGGAGUCCUCUCACUGAUGGUUGAUGGAUGGGUUCAGGGGCUUGGAGAUCGAGGCGCAGAAGCAGAGUCCGUGUUUGGCAGUUGUAUCACAGGUGGGUGUGACACUGACGGUGAGGUGGUGAGGCUGGAGCUCUGGGAAGAGCUGCCUGGGGUGGGAUGAUGAGCCUAGAGAUGAAGCAGGCAUGACCCUGUCGAGUAUGGUGAGCAGAGAUACUGAAGGAGCUUAAGUAGGGCUUAUGUAAUUUAUUUCUGUAGACUUUUUUCCCAAAUGGAAACUUGUGAUGACAAGAACAUCUCAUUCAUCAAAG
rnacentral:lncRNA from 1 species